AUUGAACGCUGGCGGCAUGCUUUACACAUGCAAGUCGAGCGGCAGCGCGGGGGCAACCCUGGCGGCGAGCGGCGAACGGGUGAGUAAUGCAUCGGAACGUACCCUGGAGUGGGGGGAUAACGCCGCGAAAGCGGCGCUAAUACCGCAUAUGCUCUGAGGAGGAAAGUGGGGGACCGCAAGGCCUCACGCUCUGGGAGCGGCCGAUGUCCGAUUAGCUAGUUGGUGGGGUAAAGGCUUACCAAGGCGACGAUCGGUAGCUGGUCUGAGAGGAUGAUCAGCCACACUGGGACUGAGACACGGCCCAGACUCCUACGGGAGGCAGCAGUGGGGAAUUUUGGACAAUGGGGGCAACCCUGAUCCAGCCAUGCCGCGUGAGUG
rnacentral:rRNA from 1 species